UACAGAGGGGGCAAGCGUUGUUCGGAAUUACUGGGCGUAAAGGGCGCGUAGGCGGCCCGCUAAGUCGAACGUGAAAUCCCCGGGCUCAACCCGGGAACUGCGUCCGAGACUGGAAGGCUUGAAUCCGGGAGAGGGAUGUGGAAUUCCAGGUGUAGCGGUGAAAUGCGUAGAUAUCUGGAGGAACAUCGGUGGCGAAGGCGGCAUCCUGGACCGGUAUUGACGCUGAGGCACGAAAGCGUGGGGAGCAAACAGG
rnacentral:rRNA from 1 species